GCGGCUAAAUGCGGUCGAGCGGAAGAAGGGAGCUUGCUCCCGGAUGUUAGCGGCGGAGGGUGAGUAACACGUGGGUAACCUGCCUGUAAGACUGGGAUAACUCCGGGAAACCGGAGCUAAUACCGGAUAGUUCCUUGAACCGCAGGUUCAAGGAUGAAAGACGGUUUCGGCUGUCACUUACAGAUGGACCCGCGGCGCAUUAGCUAGUUGGUGAGGUAACGGCUCACCAAGGCAACGAUGCGUAGCCAACCUGAGAGGGUGAUCGGCCACACUGGGACUGAGACACGGCCCAGACUCCUACGGGAGGCAGCAUUAGGGAAUCUUCCGCAAUGGACGAAAGUCUGACGGAGCAACGCCGCGGGAGUGAUGAAGGUUUUCGGAUCGAAAAGCUCUGUUGUUAGGGAAGAACAAGUGCAAAAUUAACUGCUUGCACCUGGCCGGUACCUAACCAAAAUGCCACGGCUAAUUACGUGCCACCAGCCGCGGUAUUACUUAGGUGGCAAGCUUUGUCCGGAAUUAUGGGGCGUAAGGGGUUCGCAGGCGGUUCCUUAAUUCUGAUGUGAAAGCCCCCGGCUCAACCCGGCGAGGGUCAUUGGAAACUGGGAAACUUGAGUGCAAAAGAGGAGAGUGGACUUCCACGUGUAGCGGUGAAAUGCGUAAAGAUGUGGAGGAACACCAGUGGCUAAGGCGACUCUCUCGUCUGUUACUGACGCUGAGGAGCGAAUAGCGUGGGGAGCGAACAGGAUUAGAUACUCCUGUUACUCCACGCCGUAUACGAUGACUGCUAAACGUGAGGAGGUUUCCGCCCCUUAUCGCUGCAGCUAAUGCACUAUGUACUACGACUGGCGAGUACUGUCGCAGGAAUGCUACUCAUAAGAAUUGACAAGCCGGCCGGACAACCGAUGCAGCAUGAUGUUUAAAUACAAACGACGGCGACAAACAUUAUCAACGUCGUUGACAGCUA
rnacentral:rRNA from 1 species